GCGAGUAAGACCCUGCCCUAGUGGCUCGGUCAGUCCAUCAUAUACACCUUUAUUCGUGAACUCGUGGUUCAGCUGGACGAUGAAAGCUUUGGCGACUAGCCGUCCGUCGGUUUCCGCUCUUUAUACCCUUUAUGUGAAGUCAAUGGAAAUUAUGAUAAUCUAAUA
rnacentral:misc_RNA from 1 species